AGAGACCCGUUGUUUAUCAUAACAGGUCUCUUAUGUAUGUAAGGGCCCACCCCUCUUAAACCGACUCUCGCCUUUCCUCCGUCCAUUCUUUCACCUCCUCUUUCUCUCUUCUCUUCUCACCUUUAAUUAAAUUAAACAACUCCAUUUCCCUUUUCUUCGUUAUCCCCUCUUUCUCUCUCUUCCUCUUACCCUUCCCCUUUCUCUGUGCAAUUAAGCACAACGAAAGUCCGCUGCAACCAUAGGUGGAGUAAAAAACCCCCACAAUUUCCAACCUAUAAUCGUCGCUCAUCAGAUCAGGAAUUCAGUUGCACUUUAAAAGGUCGCUUUCUCUCUCUUCUAGAACUCCAUCGUCGUCACCACCUUUUAGGAAUUCAGUCCUAUAGGCGAUUUGAAUUCGUCGCCAACAAAUCGCGCCGGCCACCACAACGAUGCUCUAUUCGGUUGAUUUUUGUUUUCUACGAAACCCUGAUUUCAUAAUCUCUCCAUUUCAUCAGUUAUAAGUUAUAAGUGAUCCUAGUUUCUGCAAUUAAUUCAGAAUUUCAGAGACCUCCGACGAGGCAGCGACUAACGACGACGGACGACCUGACCGGCAGACCCCACCUUCGGUUGUGGAUUGUUCCUUCACUUUCCCAAAAUCUCCAAUCAAAAUUCAAAGUUAUUGACGCUACAAGUUAUUCUAUUAAUGUAUUAAAAGUAUAUGCUUGUAAAAUCUUUAAAUCAAUUAGUUAUUAAUUAUUUUAACAAGUUUCUGUACUUUUAAUGUUAAUGUAGUAUUCUAAUACUUGUAAAUUUCAAUAAUAAGUUUAUGUAAGUUUCUUUAGUGGAUUCCUUCUGUAAUUUAAACUUUUUUUUUCCAAUAGAGCAGAGUAAUGAAAUUCAAAUUUCAAAAUUUAAUACCCGUGAUAAAUUUGUCAUGGGAAUUUUUAUUUUUUUACAAAAAAUAUAUAUGGAAGAGACCCGUUGUGUAACAUAAUGGAUUUCUUUGAUACUGAUAGGUCCUAUUUUGCACAUGUUUUAGGUGGGUAUCUAAGCUCAUUUGAUUACAAAAUUAGAGAUCUUU